CAGUCGCGCGGGAAUACGAAGGGGGCUAGCGUUGCUCGGAAUUACUGGGCGUAAAGGGAGCGUAGGCGGGUCGUUUAGUCAGAGGUGAAAUCCCGGGGCUCGACCUCGGGACUGCCUUUGAUACUGGCGACCUUGAGUAUGGGAGAGGUGAGUGGAACUCCGAGUGUAGAGGUGAAAUUCGUAGAUAUUCGGAAGAACACCAGUGGCGAAAGCGACUCACUGGCCCAUUACUGACGCUGAGGCUCGAAAGCGUGGGGAGCAAACAGGAUUAGAUACCCGGGUAGUCCCUGUCUCUUAUACA
rnacentral:rRNA from 1 species